GCUCACUGAUAUAUGAUUACUCAAGGGAAUUUAAAGUCGUUGCAAGGGGGAUAUACACAUAUUAUCCAGGCGAAAUUACCCUUGUUAAAACAGAAUACGAUGUGAAAUACGAGCACAUGUCGGGAAUGCUGGGCAUUGAAUAUGAUCCCGGGCUUGAAUUUUUAUCACAACAUAAGCUGCAUUGGAGAAAUUCUAUAUAUUUCGGCUAUUCCCGCACUGAAGUGACAAUACAGGGAAUUGGCGGGAGGGC
rnacentral:rRNA from 1 species